rnacentral:rRNA from 1 species
UACGGGGGGGGUAAGCGUUGUUCGGAAUUACUGGGCGUAAAGGGCUCGUAGGCGGCCAACUAAGUCAGACGUGAAAUCCCUCAGCUUAACUGGGGAACUGCGUCUGAUACUGGAUGGCUUGGAUUUGGGAGAGGAAUGCGGAAUUCCAGGUGUAGCGGUGAAAUGCGUAGAUAUCUGGAGGAACACCGGUGGCGAAGGCGGCAUUCUGGACCAAUAUUGACGCUGAGGCGCGAAAAGCGUGGGGAGCAAACAGG